rnacentral:pre_miRNA from 1 species
UAUGUACUCCCUCCGUUCGGAAUUACUUGUCGUAGAAAUGGAUGUAUCUAGAUGUAUUUUAGUUCUAGAUACAUCCAUUUCCGAGACAAGUAAUUUGGGACGGAGGGAGUAUCUA